rnacentral:lncRNA from 1 species
UAAGUGCAUAAAAGGUCAAUUUUUCCUCCAAAAUAAUAGCUAUUAGUUGAAGGUAAUGAAGGAUCUGAUGUACAUGAGGACGAUAUGGGCCCAACCUAUGAUGAAGUUGACAAUGUAGGAGAUGAAGGGGAUUGAAGGGAGAUAUUGAUAAGUCGCUUGUUAUCAGAAAUAGUCUUAUGGCUAAGUUUGCAAGGUCGUAAUGAAUAGGGAAAGCUAGGAGAAUGUCACAUCUCAAGAGGCUAUUACAAAGCAACUCUACCUAUAGAGAAGCAUCCUUGGCCUUAUAAGCUUUCUUGGUUCCAGAACGGAAGUGAUAUAACCAUAGAUAGUGGAUGUUUGGUAUUGUUUU